UACGGAGGGUGCAAGCAUUAAUCGGAUUUAUUGGGCGUAAAGGGCGCGUAGGCGGAGAUGUAAGUCAGACGUGAAAUCCCGGGGCUCAACCCCGGAACAGCAUUUGAAACUGCAUUUCUAGAGGGUAGUCGGAGAAAACGGAAUUCCACAAGUAGCGGUGAAAUGCGUAGAUAUGUGGAAGAACACCAGUGGCGAAGGCGGUUUUCUAGAUUACACCUGACGCUAAGGCGCGAAAGCAAGGGGAUCAAACAGG
rnacentral:rRNA from 1 species